rnacentral:rRNA from 1 species
AGAGAGAGACAUGCGCGCAUAUCAAUAAGCGGAGGAAAAGAAACUAACAAGGAUUCCCCUAGUAACGGCGAGUGAAGCGGGAAGAGCUCAAAUUUGAAAUCUUAAAGGGUUUCCCUUUACGAAUUGUAGUUUAAAGAAGUGUUUUCUGUUGAGGUUUUGGUAAAAGUUCUUUGGAAUAGGACAUCAUAGAGGGUGAGAAUCCCGUAUUUGACCUUUACUUUCAACUUUGUGAUACACUUUCAAAGAGUCGGAUUGUUUGGGAAUGCAGUCCAAAAUGGGUGGUAAAUUUCAUCUAAAGCUAAAUAUUGGCGAGAGACCGAUAGCGAACAAGUACCGUGAGGGAAAGAUGAAAAGAACUUUGAAAAGAGAGCUAAACAGUACGUGAAAUUGUCAAAAGGGAAGCGUUUGACACCAGUGUUGUUUUUCUGAAAAUCAAUUAAAGAACUGUUUAUGCUAAGCUGUUUAGACUUUAUCAGCUAACUGUUUAGUUUUGAGCUUUUCUUUAAUGCACUUUUCAGUUAACAAGUCAACAUCAAUUUCUUUUGCUGUAAAAAAGCUUGAGGAAGGUGGCUUGAGAUUCGUCUUAAGUGUUUAUAGCCUCUUGCCUAUGCAGUCGGAGAGAUUGAGGUCUGCAGCGUAGAUCCUUCGGGGCUAAAUGCAUUUGUGCUAAGUUAUAGCAUUUUAUAGACAACUUGUUGACUAUGAUUUGUCUUGUAGCUUACUCGCUUAUGUUAUUUUACCUACGCUUAGGAUGUUGAGCGCAUGUCUCUCUCU